rnacentral:tRNA from 1 species
AGGAUAAUAGUUAAAAUUAACAUUAAAUUUGCAUUUUAAAAAUAUUGAAUUAUCUCAAUUUAUCUUA